rnacentral:rRNA from 1 species
CACUGUAGAGAGUUUGAUCMUGGCUCAGGAUGAACGCUGGCGGCGUGCUUAACACAUGCAAGUCGAACGAUGAUCCGGUGCUUGCACCGGGGAUUAGUGGCGAACGGGUGAGUAACACGUGAGUAACCUGCCCUUAACUCUGGGAUAAGCCUGGGAAACUGGGUCUAAUACCGGAUAUGACUCCUCAUCGCAUGGUGGGGGGUGGAAAGCUUUAUUGUGGUUUUGGAUGGACUCGCGGCCUAUCAGCUUGUUGGUGAGGUAAUGGCUCACCAAGGCGACGACGGGUAGCCGGCCUGAGAGGGUGACCGGCCACACUGGGACUGAGACACGGCCCAGACUCCUACGGGAGGCAGCAGUGGGGAAUAUUGCACAAUGGGCGCAAGCCUGAUGCAGCGACGCCGCGUGAGGGAUGACGGCCUUCGGGUUGUAAACCUCUUUCAGUAGGGAAGAAGCGAAAGUGACGGUACCUGCAGAAGAAGCGCCGGCUAACUACGUGCCAGCAGCCGCGGUAAUA